AGCAGCCGCGGUAAUUCCAGCUCCAAUAGCGUAUAUUAAAGUUGUUGCAGUUAAAAAGCUCGUAGUUGAAUUUCGAGAUCGGCUUACUGGUCGUGCUUUUGUACGUACUGGUAUAAUCGGUUUCUCCUUUCUGACGAACUUUAAUGCCAUUAAUUUGGUGUUUUAGGGAAUCAGGACUGUUACUUUGAAAAAAUUAGAGUGUUUAAAGCAGGACUCAUGCUUGAAUACAUUAGCAUGGAAUAACGGAAUAGGACGUUUGAUUCUAUUUUGUUGGUUUCUAGGAUCGACGUAAUGAUUAAUAGGGAUAGUUGGGGGCAUUAGUAUUCAAUUGUCAGAGGUGAAAUUCUUGGAUUUAUUGAAGACUAACUACUGCGAAAGCAUUUGCCAAGGAUGUUUUCAUUAAUCAAGAACGAAAGUUAGGGGAUCGAAGACGAUCAGAUACCGUCGUAGUCUUAACCAUAAACUAUGCCGACUAGGGAUCGGAUGAUGUUAAUUUUUUAAUGACUUCAUUCGGUCGCCU
rnacentral:rRNA from 1 species